rnacentral:rRNA from 1 species
UACGGAGGGUGCGAGCGUUGUCCGGAAUCACUGGGCGUAAAGGGCGCGUAGGUGGCGCGACAAGUCAACGGUGAAAGCUCGGCGCUCAACGCCGAGUCGGCCGUCGAUACUGUUGGGCUUGAGCACUGUAGAGGCUAAUGGAAUUCCGGGUGUAGCGGUGGAAUGCGUAGAGAUCCGGAAGAACACCGGUGGCGAAAGCGGUUGAGCUGGGCAGUUGCU